UUCUUAAAUUUGUCUCAAUAAAGGAUGUAGAGCUACUUUUAUCAUAGUGUGUUGAGGAAGAAUGCCCAACCAGCUGCUCUCUCCUUUGCUUCUCCAUAACUGUCAGGUCUGUGGUGUAAAUUUUAAUACUAAAGUGUUUUAAAGGUUAUUUUUAAUCUUUUUGCUUUCUACAGUUAAUUUGUAUGUGACUGGGACUAGUUAAAUAACCCAGACAUUGGCACUUGUUCUUGAUGCUGAACUGUGGAUAAGGGUGAAGUUCCAUUUUAUGAGGCUGGUUCUGGCAUUUCUUUCCUUUCUGGCUGGAUUUGCAAUUAUUUUACCCAGAAUUGUUUUUUCCUUAGCUGUUGUGUUGUGGAUUAUUUCAAACUAUUUAAUAGCAUUUGGGAUUUCCAUUGCUUCAGUCCAUUGCUAAAGAUAGGCUGGCAUCUGCAAGAAAAGCAAGCAUAGGGUUUGUAACGUAGCAUGUCUUUUCUUCAGUAUUCCUGAAACAAGCAGCUUUCCUCCACUUGAUCCCAGGUUGUUUUUCCUUUUCUGCAGUAAUAAAACCAGAAUGGAAUCAGAGAAGGUUGGAAUUAUUAAGGUUGCAAAAUACCACUAUGAUCAUCUAGUCCAACCACUGAUCCAUCACCCCAUGCCCACUAACCACAUCCCUCAUCAAGGCAGUUCAUGAGUACCUUUAGGGACGGUGAGUCCACCACCUCCCUGGCAGCCCAUCCAAAGCCUCACCACUCCUUCUGAGAACAAAUGUUUCCUACUGUCCAACCCACACCUCCCCUCCCACAACUGAAGGCCGUUGCGUUUUCAUCGUUCCAGGCUGGUUGAUCUGCAUUGAAACUCUUGUGUUCAGGUGACAAAUGGCUUCAUCUAGGCCGACUUCCUUCCCAUGGAACCCGUACCAGCUGCUGCUGGUGCAUCUGGCUGGGCAGCUGAUGGAGUGCCUUGAGGUGCCCGGCUGUAGCUAGCUGCUCAGCAAUGCUUGAUGUGUGACUGUGCCUUCUGCUGGCUUUCCGAGUGGUAUCACAAGAGUGUGAGAGGGAGUAUUUUUCAGAUUCUGUUCAUUGAAAAGCAGUUUUUUCGAAGUAUAGCUUCUCAGUGUUGUGGAAUACUUUGUGUGCCUGUUGCUUGCAGUGUGGAUACAACAAGCACUGUGACCAAGUUCAAAAGGGAAUUUGAGCUGUAAUUAAAUUUCCCAAUUAUUUUGUCUGCCACUCAUGUUUGCUUCUAUACUAACAGCUGACAAAGCAGCUUAUUUUUGGUUUUGGAUCACAGCCCCACUUUGGAAGUGUCCCCUGUGGAGAGACAAAAUUUUGGAUUCCUGUUUUGUUCUAGAAGCCUUAGUAUUCAUGUGGAUAUACCAGUCUGUGCACAGCCAAGGUGUGAUGCUUGUCGUGUAGGAGCUCUAAAAUAUAUUGCUGCAGCUCCUCCAAGGCCGUCCUGAUUGUGUAAGGUUUCCUGAAGUAACAGCUUAAAGUUGUAAACUGUUUCCAAUGGAUGUGUGAAACCUCCUGGUGCAAAUGCUGGGUCUUGAAGCGCCUAGGAAUGCGUUAUUUCCAAGGCAGUGCCUAGUAGACUUAAUCCUAGUUUCUAGAAUACUUUUUUUCCUAUUGUUGUUAUAGAUAAUAUCUAGAAUUACUGCUUAGUAUUAAUUUAGAAGAAAUAUUUGCUUAGUGUUAGCCAUUUGGUGGCUCCAGAUAUCACUGGUUUCUCUGAAGACCUGCAUUCUUUAUAGGUCUUAAGCUGUACAAAAGGGGAAACUGUAAUGUUUGCGUUCUGAAGAGUUCUGUCUGGGCUGGCAGUUAGCAAAAACACCUUUCCUCAUUUUAAUCUUGCUCUUCUCAGAAUAACUCUUAACCUGUCUUCCCCUCUCUGCACCCCCAGCUCCUCUCCAGUAAGAGGAGACAGACUGUUUCUGCCUUGGUAUAGAUAAAUAUAUCUGAAGUUUGAAAUUCCAUCUCUGGUGUAUCUGACUUACAGAAAUUGUGUUGCUGUGUUGGGGAAUGGGGGAGUAUAGGGUAAGAAAUAAGCAAUUAUUGGUGAAAUGAGACUCUCCAGAUAAGACAAUAAAUAGAACCUGUGAUUCCUUGAAAUAUCUCUUUUAAUUCAGCACAUUGGGAGAAUUUUGUACUGAUGUGUGCAGCAAGUGUGCUUCUUCAGUUUGUCAUUUUCACUGUCCCAGGGAUCUGCUGUUUAAUGCAGAUUGCUCAUCCUUAGAUCCUUGGGUCAUCUUCAGUGUAUUUUGGGAGUGUUUUCUUGAAAUAAAAUGUGAGAAUUACAUUUUUUCCUUACUUGUAUCUUUUAGGAGGAACUGGAGAAAGCCACAUUUGCUGGCAGAAGCACUGCAGCCAUUAGCGCACAGCAGUGACACCAGGCAUGCAGAGUUGCAUUCUGCUUGCAGUGUUUUGCUUGCCAAAUGGGAUGUGUCUCUGUGUUGUCGGUGUUCUCUUCUGCCCAAGUUCCAGUGGGGCUGCCAGUUUGCUUUUGGUUUAAAUGGAAGUAUUUUGUAGUGAUUUGAUGUCUUUUACCUCUCUCAGCUGCUCUGUGCCCAGCUUCUGAGACUCAUGCUGGUUGCAUGCUCUCUGACUGGAUCAAAGUGGAUCUUUUUUGUAAAUUACUUCUUAUCUAGUUUUGUUCUGGGCUUAUUUCUAGCAAAAAGAGGUGAUUUAAUGGAACAGAGAGGGACCAGCUUGUCUCUUUGUAUCAGCUGAGGCAAACUCAAGUGUUCACUUGUGAGACAAGGAAGCAAAGUCAGUAUCUGUGUUAGGGCUACUUUCGUGAAGUGUCAGAGUUCCUCAUUUUGGGUUCUACUGCCUUGCUCAUAACUGCUGUGUUGUGACUUGUGGUUCAUUAUGCAGAAGUUAUGUUUCAGCUGUGUGUGUUCCAGUAAUUUCGUUUUACAAGGAAAUGAGUGUAAAGACAAGUUCUUGUUUCAUCUUUUAAAAACCAGUGUUUUCAGUGGUCAUUUUGGAAUGUUAGGUGAUAAUUAAAUUGCUUUUGGAGUAGGUGGAGAGGAAGACUGAGUAACAUGGAAACUCUCUAUAACGAUUCCUCAUCUUAAGGAUGAAAGUUGUAAAUGAUUUAAAUUUAUCACGUUUAAUAUAGUUUUAUAUUUGGCUAUAGUUCUGUUUUGCUGGAUAUCACCUAUGCUUUAAGGAGAAUACAUAUAGGCGUAGGAUUUCUUCUGCAGAUUUGACUUAAUGUUUUCCAUUACGUGUUGAAAAUGUUGGUGCCGAAAAAGGGUUGGCUUUUGUUUUAUAGUCUGGUCAUGGUUUGAUUGAAUUACUGGAAUUUAUGAAGAUCUUGAUUGCUACAGCUGGAAACCAAGAAGUAAAAAAAUUUUUUUUUUUCCCCCCCUCUAGAUUUUCAACUGAAUUCUCACCUAUCAACACUGGCAAAUAUUCACAAGAUUUACCACACUCUCAAUAGGCUGAAUCUGACGGAGGACGUUGGCCAAGACGAUCGACAGACAGGAGAGAGACUUUCAAAGAUACGAAGAAUAGGAAGUCUCCGGUCUUGCAGUUCAUCAGACUGCUUUAGUAAAGUGAUGCCUCCAAGGAAAAAGAGGAGACCUGCAGCAGGAGAUGAUUUAUCUGCUAAGAAAAGUAGACAUGAUGG